rnacentral:lncRNA from 1 species
CUUUUCUGGGGCCGCUCCCACGGCAAUAUGGAGAUUCCUAGGCUAGGAGUCGAAUUGAAGCUGUAGCCAACGGCCUACGCCAGAGCCACAGCAACGCGGGAUCCAAGCCGCAUCUGCAACCUACACACCUACACCACAGCUCACGGCAACGCCGGAUCCUUAACCCACUGAGCAAGACCAGGGAUCGAACCCGCAACCUCAUGGUUCCUAGUCAGAUUCAUUAACCACUGCGCCAAGAUGUGAACUCUGGGACAGAAUUUUUUUGAGGACAUUUUCAUUACCUCUCAGGCAAAUAUAUUCACACAUAUGCACAUUUUAUACGCGAGGUAACCAGACCCUAAUAUGAAUUUCUCAAAGGUCAUACAGAGCAGGAAUCCAAACCCAAGGGUGCUAACUCCAAAGCCUACCUCCUUCUACUAUGUCAGAAAGGAAGCUUGAGGAAAAACAGAGUCAAGGGAAGGCUUUUUUGUUUAAGGUUAGGAAAUCUUUGAAAACAACGGCAGAAUAAAAGGUGCCAAGAAGGUAAAACUGAAGAUACUGAAAGAGGGAGAUAACUGAUGCAAUUAGUUUGGAGGAGGCAGAAAAGGAUGAAAUAAGACCAUAGGUGGGGAUCUUUCCCUUGAUAAGGAAGUGGAACAUAUUAGAGGAACCAAAGACGGGAUGAUGGAAGAGAGUUAUAACAGCUAACAUAGCUUCAUUCAUUAAAAAGAGAACACACAGACUAUUUUGGAAAAAACUGAUAAUGAUUAGACUUAGAUCCUCAGUUAAAUCAGGAAUGUGUAUGGAUACAAUCCUGCACCCACAGAACUGAGGGAACAUAUUUCUACCUCUCGGAAGAACACCAGUCAGUGUUCUUUAAAGGGUCAGUAUCUCUUUAAAGAUUAGUUGUCUCUGAGGAUUGGCCUGGGUGGUCGUGACCUCAGGCAGUUGCUGAGUGAAAUCCUGCUUGUGUCCAGGGUGUUUCAUGGCGACCAAGGGAGUAAUCUUUGGCCUCUGUGUUUGCUCAAACCUUCCUGUAUCCACACUCUUGGGGACCUUCCCAUCAUGAGGCUGGACUUGGACAGGUGACUUGUUUUGGCCAAUAAGACUACAGCAAAGUGAUGGAAGAAGAAACUCCCGGAACCUGCCCCCAUGUGCGCAAAGCUUGACUAGGACCCCCAAAGCCCCAGCUGAGAGAGAGGCCAUCUUGAAUCAUCCAGGCAAGCUUCCUGUGACCUCCAACACAGGAGUAAACCUCCCACAGGUGGGCUGAACCUAGCAUGGCUUGAAGAAUCGCCUAGUGGGAUCCUACACCACAUAAUGGUUCUUGAAGUGAGCAACCGUCUCCAUUUAUUGGCCUCUCGGGGGCCAGCAGUGCUGGCUUGGUCUUUGGAACAAAUUAUGGCUGUCCAGCAGUCCAGGAGCCUUGCUACGCACCACUGGCCAGCGCUGGCAGGGGAGUUUUCACAUAUUAAAAUAUUAGGAAACAGGAGAUUGGAUUAAGAUGGCAGACUAGAAGGAGUGGAGCUCAAUUUCUCUCCUAAAAACAACAAAAUUAUAAACAAAUGCUGAUCAAUCUUCAAUCAAAUGGACUGGAAACUUUCAAAAAGAUAUCCUACUCCAAAAGACAAAGAGGAGGCCACAUCAAGAGGUAGGAGAGACAUUUACAUGACAUAAGCAACCCCAUACCUCCUGCGUGGGAAGCCCCACAGAAUGGAAAGUAACUAUCACAGAGACUCACCUACAGGAGUGAGAGUUCUGAGCCUAACGACAAGUCCCCACAUCUGGGGAUCUGGCAUUGGCAGAAAGUCCCUGGAACAUCUGGCAUUGAAGGCCAGUGGGGCUUGUGCACAGAGCUCCACGGGACAGGGGGAAACGGAGACCCCAUUCUUAAAAGGUGCACAUAGACGUUCAUGUGCACUGGGUCCCAGGGCAAAGCAAAGUCUACAUAUGAAUCUGGGUCCAACUUGACUGCAGUUCUUGGUGGAUCUCCUAGGAAAACAGGGGGUGAAUGUGUCUUGUUGUGGAGGAAGGGCAUUGGAAGCAAAGCUCUCGGGAAUAUUCAUCAGCAUGCCUUUCUCUGGAGGUGGCCAUUUUUGGAAAAUCUGACCCAACCCAUCAGCACAGAGAAGCCCCAGGGCAAACAACAAUCCAGGUGGGAUCACAGCCCCACCCAUCAGUAAACAGGCUGCCCAAAGAUGCCCACGAAGACAGCCACUUCUAAUCUCACUCAGAAACAAAGCCCCACCUGCCAGAGGGAUAGGAAUCAACUCCAUCUACCAGCGGGCAGGCAUCAGCCCACCCCAUCAGGAAGCCUGCAGCAAGCCCCCAUACCAACUUCAGCCACAAGGGGGGCAGACACCAGAAGUAAGAGAGGCUACAACUCUAUUAUCUGUAAAAAGUUCACCACACCAAAAACCUAUAAAAAUGAAAAGACAGAGGACCAUAACUCAGAUAAGGGAGAAAGGAAAACCCCCAGAAAAUCACCUAAGCAAUGAGGAGAUUCUCAGCCUCCAGGAAAAAGACUUUAGACUGUUGAUGCUGAAGAUGAUGCAAGACAUUGGAAAUAAACUGGAGGCAAAGAUGGAUACCAUACAGGAAACACUGAGCAAACAAAUACAAGAUGUCAAACUUAAGCAAAAAGAGAAGCAAAAUACAAUAACUGAAAUAAAAAAAAAAAAAAACCCAUUAGAAGCAGCCAAAAGCAGAAUACAGGAGGCAGAAGAACGAAUAAGUGAGGUAGAGGAUAGAUUAGUGGAAAUCACAGGUAUGGAACAGAAAGAGAAAAAAGAUUGAAAAGAAAUGAAGAGAGCUUCAGAGAACUCUGGGACAACAUGAAAUGCCCCAACAUCCGUAUUAUAGCGGUGCCAGAAGGAGAAGAGAGAGAGAAGGAGACAGAAAAAAUAUUCCAAGAGAUAAUAGCCGAAAACUUCCCUAACAUAGGGAAGGAACCACUCACUCAAAUCUAGGAAGCACAACGAGUACCAUAUAAAAUAAACCCAAGGAGGAACACCCCGAGACACAUAUUAAUCAAACUGACCAAAAUUAAAGACAAAGAGAAAAUCUUGAAAGCAGCUAGGGAAAAGAAAAGAAACAAGUUACGUACAAGGGAACCCCAAUAAGGUUAUAGGCAGAUUUUUCAGCAGAAACUCUGCAGGCCAGAAGGGAGUGGCAUGAUAUACUUAACAUGAUGAAAGGAAAAAACCCCAACCAAGAUGACUCUACCCAGCAAGGCUCUCAUUCAGAUUUGA